AUACGUAGGGGGCGAGCGUUGUCCGGAAUCACUGGGCGUAAAGGGAGCGUAGGCGGCUCUGUAAGUCAGAUGUUAAAGGCAUUGGCUCAACCAAUGUAAGCAUUUGAAACUGCAGGGCUUGAGUACAGGAGAGGAGAGUGGAAUUCCUAGUGUAGCGGUGAAAUGCGUAGAUAUUAGGAGGAACACCAGUGGCGAAGGCGACUCUCUGGACUGUUACUGACGCUGAGGCUCGAAAGCGUGGGGAGCAAACAGGAUUAGAUACCCUGGUAGUCCACGCCGUAAACGAUGAGUGCUAGGUGUUGGGGCCGACAGGUUUCAGUGCCGCAGUUAACACAUUAAGCACUCCGCCUGGGGAGUACGAUCGCAAGAUUGAA
rnacentral:rRNA from 1 species